GACGAACGCUAGCUACAUGCCUAACACAUGCAAGUCGAGGGACCGGCGCACGGGUUAGUAACACGUACCCAACCUGCCCUUUACUCUGGGAUAGCCUUCCGACUGAAAGAUUAAUACUCGAUAUUUAGGAUGGGGAUGCGUUCCAUUAGGUUGUUGGUGAGGUAACAGCCCACCAAGCAUUCGCUGGCGAGGGGUUCUGAGAGGAAGGACCCCGACAAUGGAACUAAGGCACGGACCAAAAUCGUAGGCGAGGGAGGAGUGUGGAAGAUAGGGGAAUAAGCGUUAGCCUAGAACAGCGAAGGAGGGUGAAGGGGGAAGGCGUAGGAGUCGUCAAUUUCUAGUAUAGAAGAAUAUGUAUUUAAUGAGAAAGGAACGGCUAACUACGUGCCAGCAGCCGCGGUAAUAC
rnacentral:rRNA from 1 species